CAGUAGGUGAACCUAGAAGGAAAUAAAAACCCUACAGUUUAACAAUGUUCAUUGAAUUUGCAUAUUUUUCUCUUUAAAUGGAUAUGGUUUUGUGGGUGCCCACCAGCCCCCUCUAGAGGAAGGAGCCCUGCCCAAGUUCCAGUCUCUCCUGCGGGUGAUGAGAGAUGGCCCCAGGAAAGUUCUCUGGGACUUGGCUUUCUUGUCUGGAAAAUGCGGAGAAACAGCCACCUCCGGGGUGGCUGUGAGGAUGGAGGACAAUUGUCCAGGAGCUCUGAGCUGAGCCUGCCCUCCUGGUCCCUAGAAUCACCCCUUGAGAGGUCAAGACGACAUCCCGGUCGCAAGGAUGACUGGGCUCACCCAGCUGCUUUGAGGUCCAACAUCUCAAGAAAGCCACAAAACAUGGUCAACUCAAUUUCUGAGGCAAAUGCCUGAAGUGCCCACUGAGUCAUUAAGGACCAAGGAGAGUAAGGAAACCCAAUGUUCCUCGUGAGAAAGUGAUUUAGAAAUGAUCCCUUAAUUGGUCUUCAAGCUGGGGAAGACCUUGGUCACCUGUUUCAACUGUUUGGAUGAGGAAAUCAGAUCUUGGGAGAUUUAAAGAACUCUCUGCUUCCGGUUUCUCUUAGGCUACGCAUAACGGACAACAAUUUGGACACGAUUGGAAACAUUGGUCAUAUUACCAAGGCUUUGACUGGAAUGUCAUAUUUGAGAUUGAUACAUAGAAUCAGAGGUGACCAGACAGUUUUUAAAAACUGAGGUUGAUUUGAUGGAGCUGGAGAAACUGACCUGCUACCUGGCUCACCGGGUCCCCAUCCCACAGGUGAGUGAAGAAGGUCAUUUGCUGGCAGAUCCAGGAACUUUGGGAACCUCGAGACCUUCGGAAGAGAGAAAUUCACCCAAGUCUUUAGGUACCACAUGUGAAGUCUGAUGGUGAGUUUUUGGCUGGGCUUCCUAGCCUCAAAAAGCUUUUAAAAAAUCUAAUCUGAGAUUCCUUGUAAAAAGCUCCAGCAGAGAAAACUCAGUUUAUGUGGUCCAUUACCAUUCUUGCUGCACUUAUGUAAAUAAUCAGACCAAAUCUUGUAAGAUGUGAUAUAUUUUUGAGACAAGAAUAGCAUUACUUUGGUUAUCUUGAUCAAAAAAAGAGGGUGACCAUAGAGCCAUAUUUUAUGUUUUAAUGAAAAAUGGUAGCACACCCUUGUGAGUUAUAACCCUGUGUAUUCUACUUUUUUUUAUCUUUUGAUAAACUCCACCUUACUUUCUACUUUGUUAUCUACCUGUAAACUGGACUGGAUCCUGAAGCCUUUUAGAGUCCUUCAAUGUUCCCAGGCUAACAUUUCCAGUCUUUCUUCUGCCCUCCUGACUGGGUGUUAGUGAGAACUAAAGCCUGACAACUCAGGCCUUCCGUGGGACCAUCUGGAAAGGCUGAAGCUGGACACAUCCACGCUCUGCCCCCAGCAUAACCAUGACUGUGGCUCUGAUGGUCAUGAUGUCACCAAGGACACACCCCCUGCAAACUAGGAAAUCCAUCCUUGCCCCAUCGGCUGAAGAUACCUUGAGCCCAAAAUCCAGAAAUCUUCUCAACAGACUGCCCUCUGGAUUCGGAAACUGUGUUUCCAACUAUAAAUCUUUGUUUUUCUUCUCUUUUUCGUAGACAUUCCCCUCAUUAAAUUCCCGACUACUUGUACCAUCCAGCACACAUCCUCCACCAGAUGAAACAUGGACUUAUCUUGUUCAAAGAGAAAAGGAAUGUCUCUUCUUUCUUGAACAAGAGGAGGGAAUGAGAAAGCCUCGCUCCUUGACUUACCUCAUGCCAGGCUCCUCUGAGUCUUCUCUUUGACUAGGCCUUGACCCUAGCUUCUGCUUUUGUCUGCUUUUCCCCAUGUUUAGUAGGAAUCCUGUGAAGUCUUUUAGUGGAAAUCCCCUAGUCUUGGCCUGGUCACCCUUGAUAUCUGAUCAAAUUCCUCACCCUCCAUCUUUGAUUAUUUUAUUGCCUUGGCUUCCUUUCAGGUCUGGCCUCCUGUUUGGCCGAACACAAUAUACACAAUAAUUGAACUAGAGGGUGAAUACAUGGAGGUUCAUGAUAUUCUUCCAAGUUAGAAAUUUUCCAUAAUAAAAAGUUAAAAUAAGUAACAUAUGCAACUCUCUCAUGGAUGUCUAGAUUUUAAAAGGUCUUCAAAGAUAGCAGACCUUUGUGUCCUGUUGCAAGGAUAAUCAAUUUUUAUUAAACUUAUGCAAACAAUUGUAUGGUCCUGAAAAUCAUAAUAUCCAAAUUCUAGAGUAAUCAGGUGGGACAAAAAAUAUAAAUGCUUCAUUUUUGUUUAUAAAAGCCCUCUUGGCCUUUGCUGAAUCAGUUUAGCAAAGAAUUCUCCUACCUUUUAGCAAUGUUCAUCCACUGACCCACCCUGAUCCUUGGCUGCAAAUCUCCACUUUCCCUGUAUUUGGAGUUGAGCCCACUCUCCACUAUUAUGAGACACCAUGGUAGUAGCCCCCUUUGAAUAAAGGCUGCCUGCCCAUCUUUAGCAAGCAUCACAAAUAUUUUUUAACGGUAUGAGCUGAGAUAAAGGCUUUUGGUAAUUAUGUUAGUCUGAUUAUGACAUUGUAGAUAAUGCUUUUAUCUCUUCGCAAGAAAAUGUUUUACAUGAGGUGGUAAGGCAUCUGGGAUGGUGCUAAAAUACUCCCCAAACAAGAAAAGUGUGUGUAUGUGGUGUGGAGUGUGUAUGUGUGUGUGUGUAGAAAAAAACAAAAUAUGCACAAUAAUUGAACCUGAGGGUGAAUACACGAAGGUUCAUGAUAUUCUUCCCAGUUAGAAAUUUUCCAUAAUAAAAAGUUAAAAUAAGUAACAUUUGCAACUUUCCUAUGGACAUCUAGAUUUUAAAAAGUCUUCAA
rnacentral:lncRNA from 1 species